GGCCAUGUAGCCCAACUGGCAGAGGCGCUCGAUUCAGAAUCGGGAGCGUGGGAGUUCGAAUCUCCCCGUGGCCA
rnacentral:tRNA from 1 species